GUGCUCACUUCAGCAGCACACAUCAUAAAAUAGGAAAAAUACAGGGGAGAGUAAUGUGGUCCCUGCAAAAGGAUGACAAACAAAAUCAUAAAGUUUUCCAUAUUAAG